UACAUGGGGUGCAAACGUUGCUCGGAAUUAUUGGGCGUAAAGCGCACGUAGGCGGUUCGUUAAGUCGGAUGUGAAAGCCCUCGGCUCAACUGAGGAAGUGCACCCGAAACUGGCGAGCUUGAGUACGAAAGAGGGUCGCGGAAUUCCCGGUGUAGAGGUGAAAUGCGUAGAUAUCUGGAGGAACACCGGUGGCGAAGGCGGCAUCCUGGACCGACACUGACGCUGAGGAGCGAAAGCCAGGGGAGCAAACGGG
rnacentral:rRNA from 1 species